CGAGUCGCAAGCUCGCGAGAGUAAGCUAAUCUCUUAAAGCCGUUCUCAGUUCGGACUGUAGGCUGCAACUCGCCUACACGAAGUCGGAAUCGCUAGUAAUCGCGGAUCAGCAUGCCGCGGUGAAUACGUUCCCGGGCCUUGUACACACCGCCCGUCACACCAUGGGAGUUUGUAACGCCCAAAGUCGGUGGCCUAACCUUUAUGGAGGGAGCCGCCUAAGGCGGGACAGAUGACUGGGGUGAAGUCGUAACAAGGUACC
rnacentral:rRNA from 1 species